CCUGAGCUUUGAAUGGCACUGGAUGAAUUCACGGCUGUUUCGUUUCUGGACCGUGUUUUCAUCAGUGCUAUCAAAAGAUCAGC
rfam:Trichinella pseudospiralis scaffold129s, whole genome shotgun sequence.